GACGAACGCUGGCGGCGUGCUUAACACAUGCAAGUCGAACGGGUCUGCCCUGUUUUUUGCGGGGUGGGUCAGUGGCGAACGGGUGAGUAACACGUGAGUAACCUGCCCCUCACUUCUGGAUAACCGCUUGAAAGGGUGGCUAAUACGGGGUGUUCUGGCUGUGCCGCAUGGUGUGGCUGGGAAAGAUUCACUUUUGUGGUGUUUUGGUGGGGGAUGGGCUCGCGGCCUAUCAGCUUGUUGGUGGGGUGAUGGCCUGCCAAGGCUUUGACGGGUAGCCGGCCUGAGAGGGUGGGCGGUCACACUGGGACUGAGAUGCGGCCCAGACUCCUGCAGGAGGCAGCAGUGGGGGGUAUUGCACAAUGGGCGGAAGCCUGAUGCAGCGACGUCGCGUGAGGGAUGGAGGCCUUCGGGUUGUGAACCUCUUUCGCCGGUGAAGAAGGUCCUGCUCUUUGUGGUGGGGUUGACGGUAGCCGGGUUAUGAAGCGCCGGCUAACUACGUG
rnacentral:rRNA from 1 species